rnacentral:rRNA from 1 species
GAUGAACGCUGGCGGCGUGCCUAAUACAUGCAAGUCGAGCGAACAGACGAGGAGCUUGCUCCUCUGACGUUAGCGGCGGACGGGUGAGUAACACGUGGAUAACCUACCUAUCAGACUGGGAUAAUUUCGGGAAACCGGAGCUAAUACCGGAUAAUAUAUUGCACCGCAUGGUUCAAUAGUGAAAGACGGUUUUGCUGUCACUUAUAGCUUGAUCCGCGCCGCAUUAGUUAGUUGGUAAGGUAACGGCUUACCAAGGCAACGAUGCGUAGCCGACCUCAGAGGGAGAUCGGCAAGCCGGGAACUGAGAAACGGUCCAGACUCCUGCGGGAGGCAGCAGUAGGGAAUCUUCCGCAAGGGGCGAGAGCGUGACGGAGCAAAGCCGCGUGAGUGAUGAAGGACUUCGGAUCGUAAAACUCUGUUAUUAGGGAAGAACAAAUGUGUAAGUAACUAUGCACGUAUUGACGGUACCGAAUCAGAAAGCCACGGCUAACUACGUG